rnacentral:rRNA from 1 species
AACCGACACAGGUGGUCAGGCAGAGAAUACCAAGGCGCUUGAGAGAACUCGGGUGAAGGAACUAGGCAAAAUGGUGCCGUAACUUCGGGAGAAGGCACGCUGACAUGUAGGUGAAGUGAUUUACUCACGGAGCUGAAGUCAGUCGAAGAUACCAGCUGGCUGCAACUGUUUAUUAAAAACACAGCACUGUGCAAACACGAAAGUGGACGUAUACGGUGUGACGCCUGCCCGGU